GGGGUAGUAGUCGCGCGCUCUGUGUUCGCUGGUCGUGCACGGCAAAAGAAAAACGCCUGGUGACGCGUAGAUUAGAAAACAAGUCAGUUCUCAAUGUGAAAAAAAAACAUGCUGUAUAGGCUAUUUAUGAUGACAUAGGCAGUGAGAGGACAGCCAAUGAUGCAGAGAGCACAGGGAGAGGAGAAACACCAGGUCCAAUAGAGAGAGGAGAGAGAGAAGGCAGCACCUGACGUGGAGGACAAGGAGGCCCUCAGGGCACUACUGUGAAAAGGAGACUCCCCAGACAAGCCAAGAGAUUUGUGUCCCUGGAAACAUAAGCGUCUCACUCAGCCAGUGCCACAGGACACCCUCUUCUAGACGCCCCCCCCCCGACACCCUCCUCCCCGCCACACCAACUAAUCAGCCGCGGGAUCCGGGCCAGUGUGCACAAUGUGCCCGCAAAAUUGCCAGUUGGGUCCCCGCUGCUGAGAUGGUGACUGUGGGCCAAAGGAAAGUGGACCCAGCGCAAGGCGGCCAGCUGGAUGGAGCAGCAGACCCGAAGAGAAUCCGCUUGUACGAGCCGAGGGUGAACUAUGCUAACUAAUCAGCAUUUCAGGUCCUCUAACAUCAGAGGAACUUUAAUUUCAAUUGGCAUAUAUGCCUGUAUAAAAAAAGGAUUCCACAAAAUAUCAACUCAUUUAAUUUCCAAUCCUAUAUCCUUUCGCUGAGAUGAGAAGGAAUAAAUCAAAUCCCCAAAUGUGCUCCGAAGAUGUCUUCAAAGAACCCAAUCUCUGAAUAUCAAUUAUUAAAACCAGCAAAAGUUAAUAUUAUUAAGAUUGUUUGUUCUUAUCCCUUAACUUUUUUUAAACAGUUUUCUUUCCAUAAAUUGAUAUUGUACUAAUGCGUCCGCAGCAUUAAAAAAAUAGGAUGAAUUGAAAGUUAUUAAACCAGCAAAUGAUUAAAGUAGCAAAUUGAUGACAAAGUAUAAAAAAAUGACAUUCCCCAAAUGAAAAUU
ensembl:lncRNA